CUACGGGGUGCUGCAGUGAGGAAUAUUGCACAAUGGGGGAACCCUGAUGCAGCAACGCCGCGUGGAGGAUGACGCAUUUCGGUGUGUAAACUCCUUUUAUAUGUCAAGAAAAUGACGGUAGCAUAUGAAUAAGCACCGGCUAACUCCGUGCCAGCAGCCGCGGUAAUACGGAGGGUGCAAGCGUUACUCGGAAUCACUGGGCGUAAAGGACGCGUAGGCGGGUUGGAAAGUCAGGUGUGAAAUCCUAUGGCUCAACCAUAGAACUGCACUUGAAACUUCUAACCUAGAGUAUGGGAGGGGAAGAUGGAAUUAGUGGUGUAGGGGUAAAAUCCGUAGAUAUCACUAGGAAUACCAAAAGCGAAGGCGAUCUUCUGGAACAAUACUGACGCUAAGGCGUGAAAGCGUGGGGAGCAAACAGGAUUAGAUACCCUUGUAGUC
rnacentral:rRNA from 1 species